ACUCAAAUGAAUUGACGGGGGCUCACACAAGCGGUGGAGCAUGUGGCUUAAUUCGAGGCUACGCGAAGAACCUUAUCCUGGGCUUGACAUGUCCGAAAGGGGUAGGAAGUAGCCGCCGGAAACGGCCGGCGAACGGUAACCAACCCGGAACCUACCACAGGUGCUGCAUGGCUGUCGUCAGCUCGUGUCGUGAGAUGUUGGGUUAAGUCCCGUAACGAGCGAAACCCUUGUCUCCAGUUGCCAGCGGGUCAUGCCGGGGACUCUGGAGAGACUGCCGGUGUUAAACCGGAGGAAGGUGGGGAUGACGUCAAGUCCUCAUGGCCUCUAUGCCCAGGGCUGCACACGUGCUACAAUGGCGUGUACAGAGGGACGCAAACCCGCGAGGGGGAGCAAAUCCCAAAAAACACGCCCCAGUUCAGAUUGAAGGCUGCAACUCGCCUUCAUGAAGUUGGAAUCGCUAGUAAUCGCGGGUCAGCAACACCGCGGUGAAUGUGUUCCUGAGCCUUGCACACACCGCCCGU
rnacentral:rRNA from 1 species